ensembl:snRNA U1 U1 spliceosomal RNA
AUACUUACCUGGCAGGGGAGAUACCAUGACCACGCAGGUGGUUUUCCCAGGGUUUUCCCUGUGCACUCCGGAUGUGCUGAUCCCUGCGAUUUCCCCAAAUGCGGUAAGCUCGACUGCAUAAUUUGUGGUAGUGGGGGACUGCUUUCGCGCUCUCCCCUG